rnacentral:lncRNA from 1 species
UGAGUUUGGGUUUAGGUUUAAAGAGAGAGCUUAAGUGUGAUUUUGGCAGAACUUCUAGGGGUUGCUAGCUUGCCAAAAUAAGGGGAAUGAUAUUCUAUUUAUAUGGCAAGCACAUGGGUUGGUGUGAGUGAAAUUUGGGUUCACUUAUGUAAAAUUAGCUUGGAAUGUCUGUUUUCUACAGGUGUAACCGGUUACCAAGAUUUGGGUAAC